rnacentral:misc_RNA from 1 species
AUUGAUAAGAACUUAUGCAGCUGCUGGAAAGACAAGCAAUGUGAUUCAUCGCCGACUGAAGAUGGAGAAUGUAGAGCUGAGCGAGGCAAGUAAAAAGUUGCUUGAAGUGAUUAGUGUGGAGUGAGUUUUAAUUGCUGUUUCAGUUUUGUUGUUAUAGUUUCAAUUCCUUUAGAAGCAAAUUUUAAAUGUUUCUAACUUGCAAUUUUGUUUCAAUAAUGAAAUGUGUCUAUGUGAUGAAGAAUCACAUAGUAAUAGUGUAGGCGCA